rnacentral:rRNA from 1 species
AUGCCGAAUAGCAGCGACAACACUCAUGCUUCAGGCGAUGUAUCUUCAUCUGAUUCCGGCAACCCUAGGUCUUCCGAAGAUGGUGAGGGAUCAAGUAAUCUUGAACGGGAUAGAGCUGCAGCAAUUACCCUUUUGGUUAGGACAUGGAGGAACACUCCAAGGAAGCCCACACACCAGCCUAAAGGUGUAUAUGAAGUAACUGAGAUCGAUUUAAAGUCUUGGGCUCCAACUAAACCAGAUAAAGCACACACGAGGUUCAGGAGUGUGUGUGGAUUUCUUAGCAGGGCAAGGCUCAACAUAAAUCUACCGGGGUUUCGGAACGCUGACACAGAAACAUGA